GAUGAACGCUGGCGGCGUGCCUAAUACAUGCAAGUCGAGCGAAUGGAUUAAGAGCUUGCUCUUAUGAAGUUAGCGGCGGACGGGUGAGUAACACGUGGGUAACCUGCCCAUCAGACUGGGAUAACUCCGGGAAACCGGGGCUAAUACAGGAUAAUAUUAUGAACUGCAUGGCUCAAAAUUGAAAGGCGGCUUCGGCCGUCACUUAUGGAUGGACCAGCGUCGCAUUAGCUAAUUGGUGAGGUAACGGCUCACCAAGGCAACGAUUCGUAGCCGACCUGAGAGGGGGAUCGGCCACACUGGGACUGAGACACGGCCCAGACUCCUACGGGAGGCAGCGGUAGGGAAUCUUCCGCAAUGGACGAAAGUCUGACGGAGCAACGCCGCGUGAGUGAUGAAGGCUUUCGGGUCGUAAAACUCUGUUGUUAGGGAAGAACAAGUGCUAGUUGAAUAAGCUGGCACCUUGACGGUACCUAACCAGAAAGCCACGGCUAACUACGUGCCAGCCGCCGCUGUAA
rnacentral:rRNA from 1 species